AUUGAACGCUGGCGGCAGGCUUAACACAUGCAAGUCGAGCGAGCGGCGGACGGGUGAGUAAUGUCUGGGAAACUGCCUGAUGGCGGGGGAUAACUACUGGAAACGGUAGCUAAUACCGCAUACCAUCAGAUGUGCCCAGAUGGGAUUAGCUAGUAGGUGGGGUAAUGGCUCACCUAGGCGACGAUCCCUAGCGUGUCUGAGAGGAUGACCACGCACAACGGGACCGUGACACGGUCCCAGAUCCCACGGGAGGGAGCAGGGGGGGAUUAUUGCACAUGGGCGGAAGCCUGAAUGAGGCAAGCCGGGUUUGUGAAAAAGGCCCUCGGGUUUGAAAAGCCUUUCAGGCGGGGAGCGUUACUCGCAGAAGAAGCACCGGCUAACUCCGUGCCAGCAGCCGCGGUAAUUC
rnacentral:rRNA from 1 species